AGGGAAGGACCGACGGAUUUAAAAUAGAAUACGUGUGCAAACAGGGAGUAUUUGAUAAAAAAAAGUUCCUUAACUCGGACCACCUUGAGGCUCAGAAUGAUUUUCAAUUUCCCAUAUACCACCUUGAGGCCAUGAACAAAUUACUCGAAGAAUCCAAGAGGAUUCCGGCUGCCGGUGAUCUCGCUGCUGCUCAAAAAAAGCCUUCCGUUGAAAACAUUGCAGAGAGAGGAGAGAGAAAGUGUUUCCGGUGUUAAUGAAUACGGAUUACUAGCUUUCGUCCCUCAGUGCAUCAGAAUGAAGAUCAGUGGCAGUUUGGCAGUCAUAUAUCACACACAUUUUAAGAGGUUGAGAAUCAAACUGAAGGGCUUUAAGAUCAGGUGUUAAUGAAGACUAGAUAUCAAGAUUGUAUAAUACCCCCUCAAUACAUGUAAAUGAGUUUGGUGAAGCUUGCUCAUGAUCAAUAAUAGCUUGGCAGCUGGUUAUAUCACACACAUUUCAACAGGUCCAACUAUUUUUCAUGAAGAAUAGCUGGAUAAAAGUUACCGAAAUUACAGGACUCACUCGUCAAACUGGAAUUAAACUUUUGGUUGUAGCUAGCACAUGCUGCUGAAGUACUGAAUGACAGGACUCACUAAUUUGCUGCAUUGCUGCUGCUGAAGUACUGCUUUCUUUGGGAGUUGACAGACUGCUAAAUAAAGGCAAUCGGGUUGCAAGAAGCUUGUUACUGAUCGGAUGUAGCUUGGCAGCAACAUACAGAAAAAAGACAGCUGAGUGUUGGUUAUGCCUUGCUUCAAAAAUGUGCAGAUUGCUUAGAAAUUAAAGUUUACAGCGGGGCAGCUUUAACUCGGGUAUGCCUCCACAUAGCCUGUUGUUUCCAGUUAUCAAGACACCAGUUGCAUUGUUGAAGACUCCACCUGUAGGAACUCUAACGACUCGCAACUACCAAGAGAGCUUGGUAUAUGACCUGAUAUCAUGUUAUGUGAAACAUCAAGGCUGUCAAGAUUCUUCAAUUGUCCGACUUCUUCAGCAGGUUCUUAAUGAAUACGGAUUACUAGAUAGCUGUCAAGGAUCAUUCAAUCCUCCCUCAGUGCCUUUGUGAUCAGUGACAGUUUGGCAGUUAUGUUGGGCCCGUUGAUGCUGCUCAAAUACUGCUUUAUUUAGGAGUCGAAAAAAUCAUCUGUAUUUCUGAAAUGACGGACUGCUAAAUAAAGUGAAUAAGGAAGUAAGUCUUUUUGUUGAAGGGUCAGAAUCUAUGUUAAUGAUGAAGGAAGCUAAAAAUGAAGAUGAAGCUUAUGAUUUAUAUAAUGAAUAUGCUUUUAGUAAAGGUUUUGGUAUUAGGGUUGGGAAAGGUCGGAAGCGUCAAAACAGUGAACUUUAUACUAUGAAACGGUUCUUGUGUAGCUGCGAAGGGGUUAAAGAUGAAAAAAAGGAAGAGAACAAGAUCUUAUGCUAGAUUGGAUACGCGUACUGGGUGUACUGCUUUUGUUCAGUUUUCUAUUGGUAAAGAUGGUGUGUGGACGGUUGUGAAUCAUAAUAUGAUUCAUAACCAUGCUAUGGUUCCUCUAAAUAAGAGGCAUUUGAUAAGAUCACAAAGGAAGGUUAGUAAGGAGGCUCUUUACUUUAUGUCUACUUUAAAAGCUAGUGGUGUUAAAGUGUCUGAUACCUUGAGGGUUUUGAGGAAAGAAGUAGGCGGAUCACCUAUGGUCGGUUUUACAGCUAGUGGUGCUUAUAAUGCUUUAUCACGUGCAAAAGCUAAUAAACUUGAAGGUCAUGACUGUCAUCAGUUAAUCAAGUAUUUUGCUCAGAGAAAUUCCAGUGAAGAAGGUUUUUAUUAUGACUUUGAGCUUAGUGAAGAAGAGGGACUUUUAAGUUUCGUUUGGCGUGAUGGUAGGAUGAAGAGAGAUUAUGAUUAUUUUGGGGAUUUAUUGGUUUUUGAUACUACUUAUAGGACCAAUAAAUAUGAUAUGAUUUGUGCUCCUUUUGUUGGUAUGAACCAUCAUUCUAAUAAUGUUAUGUUUGGAAUGGGUUUUGUUAUCAAUGAAAAAACAGAAUCUUUUAAUUGGCUUUUUCAAACUUUCCUUACAUCAAUGGGUGGAAAUCCCCCAAUAACCAUUAUGACAGACCAAGCUCCAUCCAUUGUUGUCGGGAUAAGGAAUAUUUUUCCAGAUGCUAGACAUAGAUUAUGUACGUGGCAUAUUGGGGAAAAUUCAAAGAAGCAUAUUGGGCAGUAUAGAGCUUUAGAUGGUUUUUGUGACAUAUUCAAUUAUCUUCUGAAGUAUUGUGAAAUUGCUGCUGAAUUUGAAUAUCAUUGGCCAAGGUAAUUAAUUUGGAUUACUUAUUUACUUCAAAUUAAUAAAUAAUAUGUACUUGUAACCUUAUGAACAUCUACUUAUAAAGAAAUGAACAUUUUAGUAAUUCAUGUUAUUACUAAAUUAUAUGCUUUUCUUACUCUGAACAAACAGGUAUAUUCUAAUGAACAAAUUUGAUUUUUAUAGUGAACAUUUUGUUUUUCAGAAUGUUGACUCACUAUAAAUGCGUUGAAAAUCCAUGGUUGAAGAAUUUAUAUAUAAUCAGAGAGAUGUGGUGUCCUUCUUAUUCUAAGAACUAUUGGUCUGGUGGUGUGUUAUCAUCACAGCGUUGUGAAACUACCAACAAGUCAGUUUCCCAUCGACUUGAUAAGACACAAGGAUUAUAUGAUUUUUAUCAUGUUUUUUUGGAUGUUAUUUCUGAGUGGAGGAGCAAAGAGAAUGGUCAUGACUACAGAAAUUGGAAAGGUAGACCAGAAGUUGCAGCUGCAAUUUGCGGAAUUCUUCUUCAUGCGAGAAAGAUUUACACUAUAGAAGCAUAUGUUUUGUUUGAAGAACAAUUUCUUAAAUGGAUGGCAUGUUCUCAAGAAGAAAAACGCGGAAACACAGCUACAGAGAAAAGUUAUUAUGUGUGAAGGCCUAAAAAAGACUUGAUUAAACAUGAAGUUUGGUUUAACCAAGAGACUUUUGCAGUGGAUUGUACUUGUCAGUACUUUACUGAAAUGGGUUUUUUAUGUUCUCAUGCGCUUCGUGUUUAUCAUGUGCAUUGUGUCCCAGAGAUUCCCAAUCUUUAUAUAUUGAAGAGGUGGACAAAAGCGGCUAUGUGCAGUCAUUUGGUUGAAGAUGAUGGUGAAAAGUCCAAUAUAGUUGCGGCUUCUGUUUGGAGGGCACAAACCCUUAGGAAUUUUGUUAAGCUUGUUAUGUCUAGUCAAGGUUCUCUUCAAGCUAGGGCUGAGGUUGAUUCUGCCUUUGGUCUUUUAAAAGAAAAAGUGGAGAGUAUUAGGGGUACUAUUGAUUUUUCUGAUCCUAAAGAGGGGGAAGAUAUCUUUGUGCCCUUAGUAAAAAAAACCACAGAAUUUAAGUAAAAAGGGUGAGAGGAAUGACAGAUUGAAGAGUACAGUUGAGAAAAAUCUACAAUAAAGCUAAAGGGAAUUGGAGGAGAAGAAAAGCAAAAUUUACAGAUGCAACAAGGUUUAAGGCUCAAUCUACAGUCAUGGAGUUGGAUGAAGUUGGUGCCCCUGUGCUUUUCUCUAAUUCUCUUAAUGACUCAUCUGAUCUAGUUGUACUAGAUCCUUCACUAUUUCAGGUUGAUGCUUCUUUUCCGAAGCCACCUCCAAAAUAUUUUAGAAGAGGUGCAGCUGUUGAUAAAAAUGUAGAAUCAUCGGACAAGGAAAAUAAUUCAACAAAUGAAACCUCAAAUGAUUCAUAUGUUCAUGGAAGUACUAAAACCGAUGCAUGUACAAAAGUUAAUGCACCAUCGGCUACUAAAGCACCAUCGGCUACUAAAGCACCAUUGGCUACUAAAGAAACAUCAGCUACUAAAGCAAAAAAGGAUAAGCAGAGAUAUGAGUAUGAUAUCAGGAAUGCAUUUGACUUGGGACUUUCACCAUCACCGAUGGUUACUAAAGCUCCAUCUUGUACUGAAGCUAAAGUUCAAGGACCUAUUCGUGCUUCAAAAAUUAUUCACGUAGUACCUAAAGUUCAAGGAUCUAUUCAGGCUGAAAAAAUUACUCAAGUUGGACCUAAGGUUCAAGGACCUAAAGUUUCAUUGGUUACUAAACCUCCGUUAGGUACUAAAGGAUCUCAUCAAUCUGCUAUUGAUCAAGCUUAUUUGAAAUUUAAGUAUGAUGCAUUUUUAGCUCUUUUUGAUGAAUCAAUGGCUGCUGAAAAAACCAUUAAAAGUCAAGGAUUUAGUAACUUGAUUAUUGAGUUGAAAAUUUGUACGUGCAUUUAUUUGUACUGAAUCUUUUUGUGUUUGAACAUUUAGUUUUAAUAGAUUGAACAUU